AGGUAGAGAGAAAGAGGGCAAAUAGGAGGUUAGGUGUUAAUCAACAGGCAGACAAUCAACACCGACCGUCGGCGUCAGCGAUUAGCGGGGUCGCUUCGGAGCGCCAGGGCCACCCGCUAUGACCAGUAGAUCGAUACCAUUCGACCAAAUCAACCACCGGAAUGGCCACCGACCGACCGUUGGUGAUCGGUAAACACAUUAGCGAGAUUAACCAUUGCCGUGCCCGGGAAAUUCCGGCACAUGGCGCCACUCUAGUAGCGCACGAGGCAGAAGCCGGCAUGUUGGCGUGACUCCUCGAGCGCCAGGAACUCUAAUUAAUUCGCCCACUGACCCGGGGGGCUUUUCUUGGAAAUCCUCCCUCGUAGUUAGCAAUUCAAAUUCGGACAGUAGUGGACAGGACAGUUAACCAGUCGUGUAAAUACUGUUAUCAUACGCAUCCCUCCACCUCCCCCCGGGUGGUUGGACAUCAACAUAAAUAGAGCAAUGCAGUGCAGCAGGGACCGGACACCACCACGUUGCCGAAUGUAAUUGGAGCCCAAAAAAGAGAAAGUGCUUCAAAUGGCGCCAAACUUUACGGGCUGCACGCUGGCGGAAAAAGGAAUGGCCGUGCGGCGUCAUUGAGUUCAAGCGGAGUGACGGCACUACUAAUCAUCGUCGGUGCCAAGCCCAUCAACAGCAUAUGGUCCCCGGAAGUCAACCGCCUGUCAACGAUUCCGACAGGCCAGCAACAGAGUCACGGUACGUCAGUCAACCAGCGGGAGCUCACACUGUCAGACUACCCGCAAAAGGUCCUCGCAGACUUUCUGCGUUAUCAUUAGAUUGCAGAUUAACAGAUAGUUGCUAGCAAAUAAAUAUGCAGCACGAUAUCGGAUGAUCUGGCGAGACUUCGGCAAUGGUUUGGGCUUUGGUUGGGCUUUCCACAACCCCGGAGGGAGCGCUGCGGUGAGUGAUGGUUUUACGAUAAGGUUUUUUUUUACAUAUAUAAGGACGGACGAGCCGUAUGUUUUACGAUAAGGUUAUGCGUGGCAGACGCGACAUAUUACUGAUAUACAUCCAGAGAACCUUUUAAGUAAAUAAUCAUUAAUAAAUUGCCAUCAAUUGAACCAUGUGCACCGGACAAUGAA